rnacentral:rRNA from 1 species
GACGAACGCUGGCGGCGUGCCUAAUACAUGCAAGUCGAGCGCUGAAGGUUGGUACUUGUACCGACUGGAUGAGCAGCGAACGGGUGAGUAACGCGUGGGGAAUCUGCCUUUGAGCGGGGGACAACAUUUGGAAACGAAUGCUAAUACCGCAUAAAAACUUUAAACACAAGUUUUAAGUUUGAAAGAUGCAAUUGCAUCACUCAAAGAUGAUCCCGCGUUGUAUUAGCUAGUUGGUGAGGGAAAGGCUCACCAAGGCGAUGAUACAUAGCCGACCUGAGAGGGUGAUCGGCCACAAUGGGACUGGGACACGGCCCAAAACCCUAAGGGAGGGAGCAGUAGGGAAUUUUCGGCAAAGGACGAAAGUCUGAACGAGGAACGCCGGGGGAGUGAAGGAGGGUUUCGGGUCGUAAAACUCUGUUGGUUGGGAAGAACGUUGAUGAGGGUGAAAAGCUCAUCAAGUGACGGUAACUACACAGAAAGGGACGGCUAACUACGUG